rnacentral:lncRNA from 1 species
CUGCCUGGUCGCCUCUUAGUGUCUUCAGGUUCCUUUUCACCUGGCCUGCCUGGUCGCCUCUUAGUGUCUUCAGGUUCCUUUUCACCUGGCCUGCCUGGUCGCCUCUUAGUGUCUUCAGGUUCCUUUUCACCUGGCCUGCCUGGUCGCCUCUUAGUGUCUUCAGGUUCCUUUUCACCUGCCUGCCUGGUCGCCUCUUAGUGUCUUCAGGUUCCUUUUCACCUGGCCUGCCUGGUCGCCUCUUAGUGUCUUCAGGUUCCUUUUCACCUGGCCUGCCUGGUCGCCUCUUAGUGUCUUCAGGUUCCUUUUCACCUGGCCUGCCUGGCCUUCUCUUAAUGUCUUCAGGUUCUUCCUCACCUGGCCUGCCUGGUCUUCUCUUAAUGUCUUCAGGUUCUUCCUCACCUGGCCUGCCUGGCCUUCUCUUAAUGUCUUC